rnacentral:rRNA from 1 species
GCCUACGGGAGGCAGCAGUAGGGAAUCUUCCACAAUGGGCGAAAGCCUGAUGGAGCAACGCCGCGUGGGUGAAGAAGGUCUUCGGAUCGUAAAACCCUGUUGUUAGAGAAGAAGGUGCGUGAGAGUAACUGUUCACGUUUCGACGGUAUCUAACCAGAAAGCCACGGCUAUCUACGUGCCAGCAGCCGCGGUAAUACGUAGGUGGCAAGCGUUAUCCGGAUUUAUUGGGCGUAAAGGGAACGCAAGCGGUCUUUUAAGUCUGAUGUGAAAGCCUUCGGCUUAACCGGAGUAGUGCAUUGGAAACU